GUAAAGAGAGGAUCACACCCCGUAAAUGGAAUUACAACCCACCACCUAUUCUCAGCCAUCUUUACAAUG
rnacentral:tRNA from 1 species